AGUAUUAUAGUUUAUUUAGAUAAAACAUAAAAGUGCAAAUUUUAUAAAAUUAGAGAUUAAUUAAUAUUU
rnacentral:tRNA from 1 species